AACGAACGCUGGCGGCAGGCCUAACACAUGCAAGUCGAACGCUGCAGCAAUGCAGAGUGGCAGACGGGUGAGUAACGCGUGGGAACCUUCCCAGUGGUACGGAAUAGCUCAGGGAAACUUGAGGUAAUACCGUAUAAGCCCCUUGGGGGAAAGAUUUAUCGCCAUUGGAUGGGCCCGCGUCGGAUUAGCUAGUUGGUGAGGUAAUGGCUCACCAAGGCGACGAUCCGUAGCUGGUCUGAGAGGAUGAUCAGCCACACUGGGACUGAGACACGGCCCAGACUCCUACGGGAGGCAGCAGUGGGGAAUAUUGGACAAUGGGCGCAAGCCUGAUCCAGCCAUGCCGCGUGAGUGACGAAGGCCUUAGGGUUGUAAAGCUCUUUUGGCGGGGACGAUAAUGACGGUACCCGCAGAAUAAGCUCCGGCUAACUUCGUGCCAGCCGCCGCCGUAA
rnacentral:rRNA from 1 species